AGGGCAAGGAACAUAAUUUGACACACAGUUUGAGUCUCUGUCUCUUUAAGGAGCAAACAUCAUAAUUUUAUCACGCAAUUAAGAAAUUCUUUUAUAAUUUUUAGUACAACACAACUAUAACAUAUAGACACUAGCAUUAGAAAGAUAAAUCCUGCUGUUAACUAUACAUCAUAAAGCCAGUGCACCUUCAUUUUGUGUUAUGAAAUAUUUUCAAGUCAGUAUGUUAUCAUGAUUUCCAGUAUGUGGCACUAAUACUCAAGGCAGAGUUCUUUGAGGAGGAGGAGGAAUUAAUUGCAGAUGGGAAAAGCGGUUCAGAAAAUUUGGAAUUACCAUGCCAGAGCUUACCUCCUUCUUGUACUUUAUUUUGCAGAGAUGAUCCCUUGUGUUCAUGUGAUAAGUGACCCUUUAAGGCAGAUCCUGCUGUCUGCAUAACAGCUGCUUGUGACUGAUCUGCAAGCCAGAAACCAACACAGCAUUCUGCUGCUUUAGUUUUCUUCAAUAUUUCUUCUACACAAGAACAUGCCCCUGAAAUCAUGUUGGUAUCUAGAAGUCUCAGGAUUUGAUAGCCAUAAAGAACAAAGCCAAAUCCAUGCAAUUCACAAGACAUCUGAAGUAUAAGGGGAAGGAAAUAUAGACUGACAACUCUCUAGGUCCUACUUUUGUCUUCCUCGUACUGUUCCAGGUGUUUCCAUCAGUGGAAAGUGUGCAGAGCAUCAUUGCUGUGGUUUGACAAGGUUUUGCAGUGACUUUGAUUUGCAGCAGGUGGAUAACCCUACACUGUUCCAUCCACAAGAGAAGUAGACUUGAGGCAUCUGCUUUCAUCAGAGUCCACCCAGACUUCCAGAGUUGCAAUUUUCAGAUUAUUUCAGUGAACUCCUGCACAUCAUCCUAUGUUUGCAUAAGAGCAGCAAAAUUGUGUGCAUCAGGCCCAAGACAUCUUCCUGCAAGUGAAAUGGAGAAGAAUGAGUGUUUCCAAGUGAUAUCAGAAAAAGAUGUGGUACAGUGGAGAACCUGAUGAGAUCUGCUGAGUAUGGAUUUUUCUUGAGUCCUGGUAUGUCAGCUUACAUGUGUGGGUAGCCUUCAUUAUUUACUCCUAUGUAUGAGAAUUAGGUGUGGCAUAGAGAAUCCUGGCUGGGAGGGUGGUCGUGGAUAUUCUUUCUCAUAUAAGAGCAUCACUUCAUGAAAAGCUUGGUAUUUUGUAUUAAUUGCUUGCAUUUUUUGACCAAUAAAGAAAAAUAGAGAUAGAAAACUGUCUAGCCC
rnacentral:lncRNA from 1 species